rnacentral:rRNA from 1 species
GAUGAACGCUAGCGGCAGGCCUAAUACAUGCAAGCUGAACGGUAAAUGUUGUAGCAAUACAAUAUCAGAGUAGCGUAAGGGUGCGUAACACGUAUGCAAUCUGCCCGUAACUGGAAGAUAGCUCCCCGAAAGGGGAAUUAAUACUCCAUAAGAUCUCGUGAGGGCAUCCGAGUGAGAUUAAAGCUGAGGCGGUUACGGAUGAGCAUGCGCCUGAUUAGUUAGUUGGUGAGGUAACGGCUCACCAAGACGAUGAUCAGUAGGGGAACUGAGAGGUUGAUCCCCCACACUGGCACUGAGAUACGGGCCAGACUCCUACGGGAGGCAGCAGUAGGGAAUAUUGGUCAAUGGGUGAGAGCCUGAACCAGCCAUGCCGCGUGCAGGAAGACGGCCUUCUGGGUUGUAAACUGCUUUUGUCAGGGGAUAAAAUACCCGUGCGCGGGGAAUUGAAGGUACCUGAUGAAUAAGCCACGGCUAACUACGUGCCAGCAGCCGCCGUAAAAC